GACGAACGCUGGCGGCGUGCCUAAUACAUGCAAGUUGAGCGCUGAAGGUUGGUACUUGUACCAACUGGAUGAGCAGCGAACGGGUGAGUAACGCGUGGGGAAUCUGCCUUUGAGCGGGGGACAACAUUUGGAAACGAAUGCUAAUACCGCAUAAAAACUUUAAACACAAGUUUUAAGUUUGAAAGAUGCAAUUGCAUCACUCAAAGAUGAUCCCGCGUUGUAUUAGCUAGUUGGUGAGGUAAAGGCUCACCAAGGCGAUGAUACAUAGCCGACCUGAGAGGGUGAUCGGCCACAUUGGGACUGAGACACGGCCCAAACUCCUACGGGAGGCAGCAGUAGGGAAUCUUCGGCAAUGGACGAAAGUCUGACCGAGCAACGCCGCGGGAGUGAAGAAGGGUUUCGGAUCGGAAAACUCUGUUGGUAGAGAAGAACGUUGGUGAGAGUGGAAAGCUCAUCAAGUGACGGUAACUACCCAGAAAGGGACGGCUAACUACGUG
rnacentral:rRNA from 1 species